GUGCUCACAGACAAACACACACACACAUACACACACACAUACACACACACACACACACACACACACACACACACACACACACAUACACACACACACACAUACAAACCCAGAUGAUUACAUAACCUCCUGGCGGAGGUAACAAAUCCAGAUGAUUACAUAACCUCCUGGCGGAGGUAAAAACCCAGAUGAUUACAUAACCUCCUGGCGGAGGUAAUUAA